rnacentral:lncRNA from 1 species
CUUUGCUGUUUUGACUUUCUCAUUUGUUUUUGACCCUAGGCUAGUCCUAGUGGUCUUUUGGACUUACAAUUGAGUUAAUGUUUCAGGUUAAGCACCAAUGCCUCAAAGAUCAUUCAAACUUGUUUGAACUUGAUUGUUUACCAUGUGCUAACCUUUGUUUUGUAGGUGUGACUCAUGUGUUUGAGUCUUGCUUUGCACAGUUGAU